AAGAUAAAUAAACUAUUUAUUCUGUUUCCCUCAUAAUAAAUAAACUUGCGUGUUUUCUGUUUCCCUCAAAAUAAACUAAAAAGAUUAUUAAUAUUUAAUUAACAGUAGUGAGCUCUAUCAACUUAUUUUACUCGCGCUUUUCUUGCUGAAGCCUAUGUUCCUUAAAGCCUCAGGAAGGCUCUGUAGGUAGUCAAUUUUCUGAGCGUUUGUGCUUGAAAAUGACUUUAUUUGGCCCUCGUGACUGAACGAUCCUUUAUCCUGGUGUGACUGACAGUUGCUUUCUCCAGCACUUUGAGGAAAUUAUGCCACUGUCUUUCGAUAUCUGUUGUUGGUGAGGUAUUUGCUAUUACCUAUGGCAGACAAGGGUUAAUGUGGUCUCCAUGAUCUUCCCUACUAGUGUUCGUAAUCUCUCCUUUUGAGUGUGGCUGCUUGCUUCUAAUCAAUAGACUACGGCCAGGGAGAUGAGAUAUCACUGCUGGGAUUGUGGUAUGUUGUGUAAGACUGCCUUGCUAGCAGACUGGCUCCAGAGUCGGGUGCUCCUUGCUGCUUUGAAGAAACAAAUAAUUGUGAAUCUAACAAUUGCAGGAAAAAGAAUUCUGUGGACAACUUGAGUGGGCUUGGAAGUAAACCCUUCCCCAGUUGAGCCUCCAGAUGAGAACCCAGCCCUGGCUGACACCUUGACUGCAGCCUCACCAAGAACCUAGUGGUUCUCAACCUUUUUUGGAGUUGUCUCCUCAGAAUCUGACGAAAACCAUGGGCCUCGGAGAAUGUAUAUUCACGCAUAAACAUGCAAACAUGCACAGGGAAUUCACUCCCAAAGCUCCGUGUGGACCUGCCGUAAGAAUCCCCACAUCAGAUGGCUGUCAAAACACUUGUAACUUGGCAAAACCUGGCUCAUUUCUGCAUUUCCAGGGAAGCUGAAAUCAUUCUACUGCCGUGGACUCCCCUGUCCCAGUGGGUUAUAAAUAAGAUCCUGAGGUGUCUGUUUCUGUGGAAAAUGUUUCAUUGCCGGUUAACUACUAACUGAAAAAGGCCAGAAAUAGACUUUUUGAAAGCGAAAAUACACUUGUCAUCUCAUUCCUUAAGAAACUAUUUCACUAACUGACAGAUAAAUGUGCUGAACUUAACACGUCUUCAUCAUGGGUUUUAUCAUUUCAAAGAGAAACUCAGACUUACUCAAAAUCCUGAUAAUACAACGUCCCCAUCGAAAACACACAAAAGGCUUACUUCUGUGGCAUUUCCUUAUUUUCCUUCAGAAAGCAUGAUUAAAAAAAUAUAUCUGA